GUUCUCAUAGUUGAAUUACAACGGUGGUUUUUCAAGCCAUUGGUUCUGGUUAAAAUCCUGGUGGGAAUU
rnacentral:tRNA from 1 species